AUAUUUCCCAAUAGUGCAGUCAUUGAGCCACUUCAAAUAAGUGUCUCUCACAGCACAAGGAACAUUAGUAGCAGGUUCUUCAGAUACCUCAUCUGUAAGCACAUAUAGAAUCUUUUCAUACUUUAUGAUGAUCUUCAACUUUCGAUACCAACUAUCGAAGUUGGAUUCGAUAAGCUUGUCACUAUUCCACAACGAAUGGAGGGAUAGUGUAUUGGCCAUAGUUGAAAGAAAAAAUAAAAGUCUAUUAGUAUAUGAAUUACUUUAAAUCUUAAAGAUAUCAACUUUAGUCUAAAGGUUCUCUCACUAUUUUAUAUG
rnacentral:lncRNA from 1 species